rnacentral:rRNA from 1 species
GACGAACGCUGGCGGCACGCUUAACACAUGCAAGUCGAACGAAGUUUUGGAAGUUUACUUUUAAAACUUAGUGGCGGACGGGUGAGUAACACGUGAGGAACCUGCCUAUCAGAGAGGGAUACCGUUUGGAAACGACCGUUAAUACCUCAUGACGCAUGACUGGGGCAUCCCGGACAUGCCAAAGAUUUUAUCGCUGAAAGAUGGCCUCGCGUCUGAUUAGCUAGUUGGUGGGUAACGCCUACCAAGGCGACGAUCAGUAGCCGGACUGAGAGGUUGACCGGCCACAUUGGGACUGAGAUACGGCCCAGACUCCUACGGGAGGCAGCAGUGGGGAAUAUUGCACAAUGGGCGCAAGCCUGAUGCAGCAACGCCGCGUGAGGGAAGACGGUUUUCGGAUUGUAAACCUCUGUCUUUGGUGAAGAAGAAAGUGACGGUAGCCAAGGAGAAGCCACGGCUAAACUACGUG